rnacentral:rRNA from 1 species
AUGAACGCUGGCGGCGUGCCUCAUACAUGCAAGUCGAGCGAACGGACGAGAAGCUUGCUUCUCUGAUGUUAGCGGCGGACGGGUGAGUAACACGUGGAUAACCUACCUAUAAGACUGGGAUAACUUCGGGAAACCGGAGCUAAUACCGGAUAAUAUUUUGAACCGCAUGGUUCAAAAGUGAAAGACGGUCUUGCUGUCACUUAUAGAUGGAUCCGCGCUGCAUUAGCUAGUUGGUAAGGUAACGGCUUACCAAGGCAACGAUGCAUAGCCGACCUGAGAGGGUGAUCGGCCACACUGGAACUGAGACACGGUCCAGACUCCUACGGGAGGCAGCAGUAGGGAAUCUUCCGCAAUGGGCGAAAGCCUGACGGAGCAACGCCGCGUGAGUGAUAAAGGUCUUCGGAUCGUAAAACUCUGUUAUUAGGGAAGAACAUAUGUGUAAGUAACUGUGCACAUCUUGACGGUACCUAAUCAGAAAGCCACGGCUAACUACGUG